GAUGAACGCUAGCUACAGGCUUAACACAUGCAAGUCGAGGGGAAACGACAUCGAAAGCUUGCUUUUGGUGGGCGUCGACCGGCGCACGGGUGAGUAACGCGUAUCCAACCUGCCCACCACUUGGGGAUAACCUUGCGAAAGUAAGACUAAUACCCAAUGAUAUCUCACGAAGGCAUCGGAAUGGGAUUAAAGAUUUAUCGGUGAUGGAUGGGGAUGCGUCUGAUUAGCUUGUUGGCGGGGUAACGGCCCACCAAGGCAACGAUCAGUAGGGGUUCUGAGAGGAAGGUCCCCCACAUUGGUACUGAGACACGGACCAAAACUCCUACGGGAGGCAGCAGUGAGGAAUAUUGGUCAAUGGGCGAGAGCCUGAACCAGCCAAGUAGCGUGCAGGAUGACGGCCCUAUGGGUUGUAAACUGCUUUAUAAGGGAAUAAAGUGAGCCUCGUGAGGCUUUUUGCAUGUACCUUAUGAAUAAGGACGGCUAAUUCCGUGCCAGCAGCCG
rnacentral:rRNA from 1 species